rnacentral:rRNA from 1 species
CCGAACCGACUAAUGUUGAAAAAUUAGCGGAUGACCUGUGGCUGGGGGUGAAAGGCCAAUCAAACCGGGAGAUAGCUGGUUCUCCCCGAAAGCUAUUUAGGUAGCGCCUCGUGAAUUCAUCUCCGGGGGUAGAGCACUGUUUCGGCUAGGGGGCCAUCCCGGCUUACCAACCCGAUGCAAACUGCGAAUACCGGAGAAUGUUAUCACGGGAGACACACGGCGGGUGCUAACGUCCGUCGUGAAGAGGGAAACAACCCAGACCGCCAGCUAAGGUCCCAAAGUCAUGGUUAAGUGGGAAACGAUGUGGGAAGGCCCAGACAGCCAGGAUGUUGGCUUAGAAGCAGCCAUCAUUUAAAGAAAGCGUAAUAGCUCACUGGUCGAGUCGGCCUGCGCGGAAGAUGUAACGGGGCUAAACCAUGCACCGAAGCUGCGGCAGCGACACUGUGUGUUGUUGGGUAGGGGAGCGUUCUGUAAGCCUGUGAAGGUGUGUCGUGAGGCAUGCUGGAGGUAUCAGAAGUGCGAAUGCUGA